GCCAAGCCUUUAAGACAGAUGGAUGAUGAUGAAUGGGAUGAGGAGGAUAAAGAUCUGUGAGCAGAGUGACAUGUAGCUUUUGCUUUGAAGAAACACAGAUGACGCCUUUUGGGAAAUUCCCCCAGGACCCAAGAUGGACUCCCUUUGGUCUCAAUUAUACCAGCCUUUGCUUGUGCUUACCUUCUGAAGUCCUGACUAAUACAGCUCUGGACGGUGAUAUGAAAUGAUUACGACUGAUAUGGACACUUAUGGUGCCCACAUUUAUACACAGAAGAGACACAGCUACCUGAAGGUCAAGUGGAAGAGGGGGAGGGGGCUGUCAAUUUCAAAGGACCUUUUGUCAAGUCCUUAUUGAAAUUCAUCAAUGGGCCGCCCUAAGCCUUUUCAGAAAUAAAAUUGUCAUGCUAAUUCAUUUUGAUUGCCACAUUGGAAUGGCUAAACAAAAUGAAUGGUGGGGGCCAGAUGCGUCCGCCGAAGCGUAACUCUGGAUAUUUCAUAGUGAAUUACCCUUGAUCGACUUGCCCCAUGGAUCUUGGUGCAAAUUCUGAUCAAAUGCCCACAUGUGUGGAAUUCCAAUCACUGCUUUGCUAACUCAUUGAUUUGCAUGCCAAAGAGGUACACACUAAAACCCCAAUGAAAAGCAGCACUGCUGACUGGGACUUUGUUUUGUAAAUCGAAGAACAGAGAUUAU